GAGACAGGUUCAGCAAUUGAGUCCAUUACGGAGUUCAAUGGACCUGCAGGCCUUGACAUUGAUGGAAUCCACCUGUUCAAAUCAGCACAGGCAGUGGAUUCUCACUGGGCAACUGCAAGCAAGCAUCUUAGUUGUAUGCAGGACCCCCUGGCAUACAGCUGUAUGUGUCCGUGAAGGUGGUGGUGCUGAAUGGUACCGCCUGAACAAGUACAAUCACUCUGGGUUGCUGGUGGUCAUGGCAGGCAGACGUGGUGUAUGGACCCGUGGCAGAUUCAGCGCCUGAAUCAGCAGGCUGAGGUGCUCUUCGGUAAAGAGCAUGUCCUCAAGCCCAACUUUGCCGCUCCAAUGCCCUACCCUGUUGUAUACAAGGACCCAGACAAGGAGGAGCUCCUUGGAGUAGAGUAUGCCAUGUGCCAGUCAACCAGCUUCAUUGCAAAGGAUUACUAUGCCCAGCAAGUUGAGAAAGAGCAGUCCUGUGAAGAAGAGGAGACGGCUGAACAUGCUGGCAGAUGAGGGUGUGGACAUGGGUGCAGGGUAAGAGGAGGAUCCUAUGGACACUGUCAGUGACAAACAUGUCAUCCUCACUCAGUCAGAACAGGUGGAGGAGGAGGACAGUCCUGCUCUGCAGGAUGUGCUGAUGACCCAGAGCCAUCUGCAUCUUCCUGGGCUGGAGGAAGUGGAAGCCUUGGCCCUGCUCAUUUUAGAACUGUCAGACAACAGUGACCGAAGGUCUGACCUAAGGCUGAAGAUUUGCACUGCAGUUGGUGCUCUGCAUGAGCAUGACAGGUCUGCAGCCAACUUGGUAAAAAGGUAUGAGUCAAGGUGGGGUUACACUCUGUUUGGCAGAUGCUUGGGAGCUGACACACCUGAGACCAGAGCAGCACAGAAGACAAAGUUUUCCUGGAUGAGGUACCCUCAGGCAGCCCAGGUGACUGAAGAUAAUCGUCUGUUGUACCUCAUUAUUAAGAUGCUGAAAAACCGGCCACCAGCCAGUCGUCUCACCUCCCCCACUAAAAUCACCAAUGAAAUCAAGAGCCAGUAUAAAAGGAUUGUAGACCGAGUCAGAGACGAUCCCAUCCUCAACGGUCUCUCCAUUCCUCUGCCCAAUCUGAAUGCCAAGUCCAUCUCUACAUUCAUGGCACGGGAAGAGAAAAAGGCUAACUACAGGGCAAAAGUAAUGCCAAAAGUGAAACCCCACCAAAGAGUGGUGUCAGAAGAACCAAUGCCAGCAGCUCCUACUCUGCCAGAAUCCCUUCCAGCUCCAGAUCGACCUCAGGUUCAGUACCAGAGCCUACGUCAUGUAGCAGAGAAAAGGCAUGGUCAGAAGCGGAGGUUAGAUGUGGAAAUGCUUUUGAACCGGCCCAUUCAACCGAAAUCCCCUGUGGCCACGUACAUCCCACCCAGAGCGUCAGCAGCACCUGUCCUGGUAGUGGUUCCUGCACAGCCAUAG
rnacentral:lncRNA from 1 species